GCGGAGGAAAAGAAACUAACAAGGAUUCCCCUAGUAACGGCGAGUGAAGAGGGAAGAGCCCAAGAUUGAAAGCUGGCGUCUUUGGCGUCCGCAUUGUAAUCUCAAGAAGUGUUUUCCGCUUCGGACCAUGCCUAAGUCCCUUGGAAAAGGGCAUCAUAGAGGGUGAUAAUCCCGUACAUGGCAUGGAGCGCCCGAAGCUUUGUGAUACACUUUCUAAGAGUCGAGUUGUUUGGGAAUGCAGCUCAAAAUGGGUGGUAAAUGCCAUCUAAGGCUAAAUAUUGGGGAGAGACCGAUAGCGAACAAGUACAGUGAUGGAAAGAUGAAAAGAACUUUGAAAAGAGAGUUAAACAGUACGUGAAAUUGCCAAAAGGGAAGGGUAGGAGGUCAGAGAUGCGGUCUGGGAUUCAGCCUUGCUUUUGCUGGGUGUUUUUCUCAGAUUGCAGGCCAACGUCGGUUUUGGGCGCUGGAGAAGGGUGGAAGGAAUGUGGCACCUCUCGGGGUGUGUUAUAGCCUUCUACUGGAUACAGUGACCGAGACCGAGGACAGCAGCGUACUCGCAAGAGCGGGCCUUCGGG
rnacentral:rRNA from 1 species